UAGAUAUUUACAUUUCCUCGAUGCAGCAGCCAUAAAACCACAACUUUUGGCAGCGAUGAGAUAUGAUAGGUAACGGAACAUGUUUGGGGUGAGUGCUGUGGUACAUUGCACUGGUUUUGUGUUAUGAGAAAGGAGAAGUAACAAGGAGAAGGUAGAAAUUAUUUCUACUUUAUUAUGCCAGUUUCUGGUUCAGGACUUUCCAGUUAUUUGGAGAUUUGUUUGUUUUCUUACGAUGAUCCUGACAUCCAGUUACUCAUAACAUGUCACUCUCAAGAGCCCUGCAACACUUUGUACCAGGAACUGCAUUUCGGAAAAGGUGAAGCUGGGGUCAAACGCAUUCCUGCUAAUUGUACCGACUGCAGGAAAGUUAUUCCAUGAUGAAUUUGCCCUCUGAAGUUAAAGGGGGAAGCUGCUAAUUGCUUUUAAGGAGGACCCAGAAAAAUGUCUGUGGGCUGGCCAAGAACUCCCUGCCCAGGCGCACCGCGCAUGCUCCCCAGGCACACACGAGAUAAGCACGGCUAAUCUUUUGGGGGAGUGUGGUAUGUGAGGAGGAUGUGCAGCUCAAACUAUGCAAGGGCUUAGAGGGAGAUGCACAAAAAAAACCAGAAAAUGGGUUUCUGUACAUGCGUGCAUUUUGUACUGCUGGUACUCACUGUGUAGAAGAAAUCUGCUACAGCAAUCUGAUCUCUUCAAAGCCACCAUCAGUACAGUGACAUGGACACUGGUUCUUUUCUGCAGUGUUUCUACAAUGUUCUGAAUGUCCACAAAGCCUAGAUCUACUCUUACCAUCAUCUGACCAGGCAGCAUAUAUGUUUCAUCUUGAUCUAGCUUUUUCUUGUAGUUUUCCUGCUUGUCAAAUCUGUAGUCUCUGAGUUGAAAAAUUCGGGGCAAGGAGAGACAAAUAAGUUUUAGUUUGUACAGAAGAUCACAGAGUAGUCCUGGCUUAUUGAUGUGCAAUAUCACAAGGACAACCAGACUUUGCUUCUCUGCUAAAAUUUAUGUUUUGUUAUAUCAAAAGUCAUCCUGCCCCUUAUUGCUGAGAAGUGUGGUCCUGCAAAGGAAAGAUGACUGCCUGGGGUUUGACAAGGUUUGCAGAUUCCUACAUGAGGAAGUGUAUGGAGAAGAUCUAAGGGAACUACCAUUGACUCAUACUCCAGAUCCUAAAGUGCUUCCAGUAAUACAAAAACUUUGUACCAGUGUUUGGCUUCUGUGGGAAUGGUCUGAGAUUUUCUGAAGACCAGACACACCC